CUGUUAAUGCUAAUCGUGAUAGGGGUUUUUACCUCAACUGACUCCUACAUGUUAGCAUUAACAG
ensembl:miRNA MIR155 microRNA 155